AUGAAUGAACCACGGGGGAUUGACCUAAGGUUUAUUUCGAUUUUAUGAAAAUUAAGUAGAAUACAAUAAACAACUUCAAAUGACAUAAUUCUACCGAACAUAUAAAAACUGUGAAAGAAUGUUGUCCUAAAUACUUAAUCUGUUGAGAAACAUUGCUUUUGUCACACGUGAGGAGUAUCGUCGUGAUUAGAAAACUAGUUACAAACUUAAAGAAAGUUUCUUCGCCUCUGUGCAUGGAUGAAGCUCUCCGCGAGGAAUAUCCUAUCAAUAAUAUAUUUAGUUGAAUGUAUAAUUGAGUAACUUAUGCGCUUUUGUUCUUUUUCAUUUGAAAAAUGCACAAUAAAAAAAGAAUAAC
rnacentral:sRNA from 1 species